rnacentral:rRNA from 1 species
UGGCGGACGGGUGAGUAGAGCUUGGGGAUUUGCCUUUUUGAGGGGGAUAACCACUGGAAACGGUGGCUAAUACCGCAUAAAGUCUGAGGACAAAAGGUUGCUUCGGCAGUCGCGAGAAGAGAAGCCCAAGUAAGAUUAGCUAGUUGGUAGGGUAAGGGCUUACCAAGGCGAUGAUCUUUAGCUGUUCUGAGAGGAAGGGCAGCCACACUGGGACUGAGACACGGCCCAGACUCCUACGGGAGGCAGCAGUGGGGGAUAUUGCACAAUGGGGGGAACCCUGAUGCAGCCAUGCCGCGUGUGUGAAGAAGGCUUUCGGGUUGUAAAGCACUUUCAGUGGGGAGGAAAGGUAGCGUGUGAAGAGCGCGUUGCUGUGACGUUACCCACAGAAGAAGCACCGGCUAACUCCGUGCCAGCAGCCGCGGUAAU